rnacentral:rRNA from 1 species
UACAGAGACUGCAAGCGUUAUUCGGAUUCACUGGGCGUAAAGGGUGCGCAGGCGGCCGUGUGUGUCAGGUGUGAAAUCUCGAGGCUCAACCUCGAAAUGGCGCCUGAAACUACACGGCUAGAGUACUGGAGAGGGUAACGGAAUUCACGGUGUAGCGGUGAAAUGCGUAGAUAUCGUGAGGAACACCAGAGGCGAAGGCGGUUACCGGGACAGUUACUGACGCUGAGGCACGAAAGCGUGGGGAGCAAAAGGG